rnacentral:rRNA from 1 species
AGUCGAACGGGGAAGUAGCAAUACGAGUACUAGUGGCGCACGGGUGAGGAACGCGUGGGUAAUCUGCCUUCGAGCGGGGGAUAACCAGUCGAAAGAUUGGCUAAUACCGCAUAAGACCACAAGAUCUGCGGAUCUAGGGGUCAAAGCAGCAAUGCACUUGAAGAUGAGCCCGCGUAAGAUUAGCUAGUUGGUGAGGUAACGGCUCACCAAGGCAAUGAUCUUUAGCUGGUCCGAGAGGAUGAUCAGCCACACUGGAACUGAGACACGGUCCAGACUCCUACGGGAGGCAGCAGUAGGGAAUAUUGCGCAAUGGGGGCAACCCUGACGCAGCGACGCCGCGUGAGUGAUGAAGGCCUUCGGGUCGUAAAGCUCUGUUAUAUGGGAAUAAGAUCUGAAUGUACCAUGUGAGAAAGGAUCGGCUAACUUCGUGCCAGCAGCCGCGGUAAGACGAGGGAUCCUAGCGUUGCUCGGAAUCAUUGGGCGUAAAGCGGGUGUAGGCGGCUUUUUAAGUCAGGUGUGAAAGCCCAGGGCUCAACCCUGGAAGUGCAUUUGAUACUGAGAAGCUUGAGUGUGGGGAAGAGGCUACUGGAAUACCUGGUGUGAGUGGGUGGAAAUACGUAGAUAUUCAAGUGGAACACCCGGAAGGCGAAAGCGGGGUAGCUGGCCCAACACUGACGCUCAGACCCGAAAGCGUGGGGAU